ensembl:misc_RNA 7SK 7SK RNA
ACCAUCUGGACCACCAGGGAAGCCCACCACCCCUGAUAGAGGAGGACCGGUCUUCCGUCAAGGGUAUAGGAGUAGCUGCGCUCCCCUGCUAGAACUUCCAACAAGCUCUCAAGGUGUCCUUAUAAGAAGAGGAAACUAGG